UUGAUAUAAUAUGUUGUAUAUGUAGCCUACAUUGCGUGUUUGCAUAAAAGAGCAGGUUAAUCCUUUUUUGAACAGGUUUGUUGAAAAAUCCUUCUCGAAAGAAUCGUAUUUCCAAAGUACUGUCAACUGACCACAUCUUCUUCCGCUUGUCAAAAUAGUUCUGCUCAGUUUGGUGUUUUAUUACGGAUUUAUUCUCAUAGUACCGUUUCAUAAUUUGAUAUAAUAAUAUAAUAAUAUGCUGAUAUUAAAAUUAAAAAAAAUAAAAAAUGUAAUAUUCGAACUGAAGGAAUUCCCGCCCUAGCGCAAGGACACAUUCUCCUCCAAGCACGCAGUGGAGCUGCUGCGCGCGCAGAAGGAAUAACUCGACCUUCAGUUUCACGGUCAAUCUUCAAUCUGAGGCGAAAAUAAGCAGAUAAGUUCAGUGAGUGCUAAAACCAUGGUCAACAUGAAAGGUCAUAGUUAACGACCACAUCACCAUCUUCUGCAACGCUCUGAUGUUUGCUUCAUACAACUGCUUGAACAUUUCAUACCCAGGAAACCAAGGAGAAACGCAAGAGAUUGUGCAAAGAUUCCUUUUUAAGAUGAACCCCGAGAAGGGAUCGAAAGUGGAGAAGACCACAUCGAGAAAGAAAUCAGCAGUCAGUCCAAAGGUUCUUUCACUGAUUAACAAGAUUGCGGACUUUGAAAGGAUGGAGUAAAACUUGGAGUGUCAGAUCUUCCUACAUUGCCUAGCAGAAAUUCUUGACAGUGUCAAAGACUUAAAAUACUUGCUGAUUAUUUGCUUUCAUGGUUGAUUUUUUUUUUUUUUAAUGCAUCAUCUGUUGUCAAGAUGAAUUAAUCUGUUCACAGGUGGUUCAGUUUUAAGGACAAAU